rnacentral:rRNA from 1 species
UAGGGAAUCUUCCGCAAUGGACGAAAGUCUGACGGAGCAACGCCGCGUGAGUGAUGAAGGCCUUCGGGUCGUAAAACUCUGUUGUUAGGGAAGAACAAGUACCGGAGUAACUGCCGGUACCUUGACGGUACCUAACCAGAAAGCCACGGCUAACUACGUG